rnacentral:rRNA from 1 species
GACGAACGCUGGCGGCGUGCUUAACACAUGCAAGUCGAACGGUAAGGCCCUUCGGGGUACACGAGUGGCGAACGGGUGAGUAACACGUGGGUGAUCUGCCCUGCACUUCGGGAUAAGCCUGGGAAACUGGGUCUAAUACCGGAUAGGACCACUGCCUGCAUGGGUGGUGGUGGAAAACUUUUGCGGUGUGGGAUGGGCCCGCGGCCUAUCAGCUUGUUGGUGGGGUGAUGGCCUACCAAGGCGACGACGGGUAGCCGGCCUGAGAGGGUGACCGGCCACACUGGGACUGAGAUACGGCCCAGACCCCUACGGGAGGCAGCAGUGGGGAAUAUUGUACAAUGGGCGCAAGCCUGAUGCAGCGACGCCGCGUGAGGGAUGACGGCCUUCGGGUUGUAAACCUCUUUCAGCAUCGACGAAGCGAAAGUGACGGUAGGUGCAGAAGAAGGACCGGCCAACUACGUGCCAGCAGCCGCCGCGG